CCUCUCUACUCUCUAUCAUAGAAGAAGAGUUCGUCUGAUAAAAAUUUUAUAUUUCGAUGUUAAAUUGACGGAGAAUUACAAGUUUGACAAACGAGUUUUUCAUAGCGUCCUAACCCAGUUCUAAACUACAGGGCUCAUAGUAGUGCUAGGUUCCUAACUAGCACCAUUUAUAAAAGGAAAGGAAAGCUCUUUUGUCAGGCUUGUCAUUCUCCUUCGCUGGCAUCGAAUGACAACGCCGGUGAUCGGAUCUGACCGCGAUUUGAUCGGUAGCUGCCGGCCUCCGUAGUUGGUUUCUGAAAACUAUGAAAACCCUAAUUACCUAUUCUACUUUGUUGGCAUGAAACGACAAACGCCCGAUGACUGGAUCCUCUCGCGACUGAGUUCGACAACGGAACAGCGGCUUGAUUCGAGCUGGUAUCUUGGAACUAUGGAAAUCAUAAUAUAUUUUCUAAUUUAACUGAGGUUUUUCGAAAUUAAAAUUCUUCCCUCUAUUAGACUUUUCCUAUACAUAUUAGGUUUCGCUUGUCUAUUGGGAUAUCCUGUAUUAAAUCUGAUGACACGACCUUUAUCGAGCAGUAUGUUCGAAUUUAAAGCCUGUCCUUGGAAUUUAUUUUAAUUUACAUAUUUAGAUCUCUUUUCUCGUCGAUGUUAUAAUUCCUUCUAUGAGGUACAUAUGCUUUAACAUUCUGUUUAAAAAAUGGAUGUGUUUCUUCUUCCCAACGUAUGCUUGCUUCUCCUUAUUUUUUUCCAUUUCCGACACAGAUGCAAAACAAGAUUUGGCUUGUUUAUGCCCAAAUAAACACGUGCAUGAUGGCAAUCAUUCUUGUCCGAAAUAGUGGUUGACGUGUAAAAUAAAGAUGAAUUGAUGUAUCUAUACUGAUUUUAACUUUAUGUUGCUUCCUCCAAUUGCUCCUUGUAUAAUUUGGGGGAUGCAUGUUUUGGCAUUAAGCUGAAGUUUACUGUCAUGGAAGGUUUUUAGUUCAUUUGCAAGCUGGCAUCAGCAGGAGAAAAUUGGUCUCUGCUUUCUUCGAGGCCAGUUAAAUGACUACAUCAG
rnacentral:lncRNA from 1 species